CCUCAGUUGGUAGAGCAUGAGACUCUUAAUCUCAGGGUCGUGGGUUCGUGCCCCAC
rnacentral:tRNA from 1 species